GACAGAGGUGCCGAGCGUUAGGCGGAAUCACUGGGCUUAAAGCGUGUGUAGGCGGAUCCGUAAGUACCUUGUGAAAUCCCACGGCUCAACCGUGGAACUGCUGGGUAUACUGGUUGUCUUGAGCCAGCUAGGGGCGAGCGGAACAGACGGUGGAGCGGUGAAAUGCGUAGAUAUCGUCUGGAACGCCGAAGGUGAAAACAGCUCGCUGGGGCUGCGCUGACGCUGAGACACGAAAGCCAGGGGAGCGAACGGG
rnacentral:rRNA from 1 species